rnacentral:rRNA from 1 species
AUUGAACGCUGGCGGCAGGCCUAACACAUGCAAGUCGAACGGUAACAGGAAGCAGCUUGCUGCUUUGCUGACGAGUGGCGGACGGGUGAGUAAUGUCUGGGAAACUGCCCGAUGGAGGGGGAUAACUACUGGAAACGGUAGCUAAUACCGCAUAACGUCGCAAGACCAAAGAGGGGGACCUUAGGGCCUCUUGCCAUCGGAUGUGCCCAGAUGGGAUUAGCUAGUAGGUGGGGUAACGGCUCACCUAGGCGACGAUCCCUAGCUGGUCUGAGAGGAUGACCAGACACACUGGAACUGAGACACGGUCCAGACUACUACGGGAGGCAGCAGUGGGGAAUAUUGCACAAUGGGCGCAAGCCUGAUGCAGCCAUGCCGCGUGUAUGAAGAAGGCCUUCGGGUUGUAAAGUACUUUCAGCGGGGAGGAAGGGAGUAAAGUUAAUACCUUUGCUCAUUGACGUUACCCGCAGAAGAAGCACCGGCUAACUCCGUG